rnacentral:lncRNA from 1 species
CGAUCUCCAAGUCGGCGUGGUUGGUUGCCGGUUGCAAAAUCAGUAGCCGGGCGGCCUCCCGUCUUACUUUAGAAAAUGCCGAUUCAGCUGAGGGAGAGGGAGAUUCCUUGAGGAUAUCUCGCCGGAUGUUAUCAUAUCUCGCAUCUAAUCCCGAUAGGAAUUGGAAUAGUCGCCGGCUUUCAAUCAAUUUCCGGUACUUUGUGAUUCCUUCUUCGCAACAAUCGAUGGGAUUAGGUUCUCUUCUGUCGAUAUUGAGCCAAAUCGCCUGUAAGUUGUUCCAAUAAUCCUCCAAUGUUAGUUGCCCUUGAUUUACUUUGUUUGCUCUUACUUCCAGAUCAUAAAUCUGGAGUGGAUCAGUAGUUCCACUUCCAUAUGUAACGGCCAAGCUAUCCCAUAC